UACAUAACGCACUGCCGCGCCGGUGACUCUCGAGUGUCGACGAUCAGUUAGAAAAAUUAUUUUUUUUGAACAGUUUAGAGUGUUAUUAAUUUACACGGUUUGGAUCGGGUUCGUAAGGUCAAAUGUGGAAUCGCCAGCUCGCGGACAGGAAAAAGAAAAACGCAUAAAUUGUUGAGGAAUGCAGUUAAGACUUGCAUCAUAAAACUGCAACGUCGUGUAAAAGAUAUUAUGUUUAAACACAUUUUUAAACCUAUCGUGUACUUACUAAUAUAUAGUAACUUAUAUUGUUUGUAAUACAUUAUUACCUAUACUCGGAGUCGGAGAGACGAUUGAAGGCACAAAACAAGAUGUAUAUUUUAAUUAUCGCAGUCGGCGAUUUCACAAACAGAAAAAAACGAAAACGGACACCAAGAUUUAAAGAUUUAUACGCUUGGCAUAUCAGUGGGAGGAGGAAAUGAUAACUUUACCCCCUCAGAAAUUUCAGGGUACAAGUGCCCUCUUGCCUCUGCUCCUCAAUUAUGCAAUUCGCCAUUGUAUUACGUCAACGAUUUUAUUCAGGUGAUGAAUUUAAAUUUAAAAAUAAUACUAUUAUACACAUGGUAUUUGUGAAUCUGAGCAUAUGAUUAGAAUACAUAAUAAUAUAAUAUUAUUGAUUUGUGAUUAAAACAGAGAAUUCUCACAAAAUUAUAAGUAGGAGUAAAUAUUAUGCGAAUGGAAAAAAGUGGAGGGGCUUGUUCUUAAUAGUUCCCACUUUGAUUAUUCAGUGUUUUAAACAACUUUUUGCACUACGUAAAAUGCUCCUCUUACAGUUAGAGCCGUUAGAGGUGGUUGCGAUUGGUAAUAAUUGUUUGCGGUCGACGAACUUUUCGUUGAAAUCACUGCUCAAUGCAGCUGAAUGUUGAACUACUUCGAUUAUUAUAAUUUAUAUAUUAA